GAAAUAGUAAAUGUAUUAGGACAUCCGAACAGGGUCUUAGCUAGGAUUUUAGAACUUGAGCGUGUUUCUAAAUGACCAGGGUGUGCACAUGUCAAUUACCUCAAAUAGCCAAAUUUGCGGUUCUAGUUAUGGUCGCCAACAACAGACCAUACCUGUGGUUGUUCUAUGCUUUGCAACCAAAUACAAGGCGAGCAUACGCUCAUAUUACGCACUGACAUUAAAAUAUUAAGUUUUUUCAGCAACUCUUGGGGGUAUUUAAAACCAUUAUAACACCAUACAGUUCCCAUUAUCCACCAAAACAUAUUUAAAACAUCACAUGCAGAUCACUUUCGCCAAUUUCAACAAUAACCGUAGAUUUUACAAACUUUCUUACAACGUACAGUGAAUAGGAAGAAAUUCUGUCUGUUAUUUUAUGAACCUACACAGCC